rnacentral:precursor_RNA from 12 species
GAAUUGCAGAGGACAUGUCUUUUCUGACACACCCUAACUGAGAGCAUUUAUUGGAUAUUUGGAAAGAUAAGUGCUCUCUUUUUGGGUGAGCCAGGUUGAGGACUAAGCUUCCUAUCAGU